rnacentral:rRNA from 1 species
GACGAACCGAGCGAACGUUAUUCGGAAUCACUGGGCUUAAAGGGCGCGUAGGCGGGCCCGAAAGUCAGGGGUGAAAGCCCCCAGCUCAACUGGGGAAGUGCCUCUGAUACUGCGGGCCUCGAGCGAGGUAGGGGCGUGCGGAACUUCCGGUGGAGCGGUGAAAUGCGUAGAUAUCGGGAGGAACACCAGUGGCGAAGGCGACUACCUGGCCUGUUCUUGACGCUGAGGCGCGAAAGCUAGGGGAGCAAACGGG